rnacentral:rRNA from 1 species
AUACGUAGGGGGCGAGCGUUGUCCGGAAUGAUUGGGCGUAAAGGGCGCGUAGGCGGCCCGGUAAGUCUGGAGUGAAAGUCCUGUUUUUAAGAUGGGAAUUGCUUUGGAUACUGUCGGGCUUGAGUGCAGGAGAGGUAAGUGGAAUUCCCCGUGUAGCGGUGAAAUGCGUAGAGAUUGGGAGGAACACCAGUGGCGAAGGCGACUUUCUGGACUGUAACUGACGCUGAGGCGCGAAAGUGUGGGGAGCAAACAGGAUUAGAUACCCUGGUAGUCCACACUGUAAACGAUGAAUGCUAGGUGUAAGAGGUAUCGACCCCUUUUGUGCCGGAGUCAACACAAUAAGCAUUCCGCCUGGGGAGUACGGCCGCAAGGUUGAAACUCAAAGGAAUUGACGGGG